UACGUAGGGGGCAAGCGUUGUCCGGAUUUAUUGGGCGUAAAGAGCGUGUAGGCGGCCAGGUAGGUCCGUUGUGAAAACUCGAGGCUCAACCUCGAGACGCCGAUGGAAACCCCCUGGCUAGAGUCCGGAAGAGGAGAGUGGAAUUCCUGGUGUAGCGGUGAAAUGCGCAGAUAUCAGGAAGAACACCCGUGGCGAAGGCGGCUCUCUGGGACGGUACUGACGCUGAGGUACGAAAGCCAGGGGAGCAAACGGG
rnacentral:rRNA from 1 species